CGCGAAUCGCCCUUCGGGGUGCACCAGGCGCGAAAACUUUACAAUGCUGGAAACAGCGAUAAGGGGACCUCGAGUGCCAGGUUACAAAUCUGGCUGUCGUGAUGCCUAAAAAGCAUUGCAUAGCAAGGGCCGGGCAAGACCGGUGCCAGCCGCCGCGGUAACACCGGCGGCUCGAGUGGUAACCGUUAUUAUUGGGUCUAAAGGGUCUGUAGCCGGCCGGAUAAGUCUCUUGAGAAAUCCAGCAGCUCAACUGUUGGGCUUUCAGGAGAUACUGUCUGGCUCGAGGCCGGGAGAGGUGAGAGGUACUUCAGGGGUAGGGGUGAAAUCUUGUAAUCCUUGAAGGACCACCAGUGGCGAAGGCGUCUCACCAGAACGGACCUGACGGCAAGGGACGAAAGCUAGGGGCACGAACCGGAUUAGAUACCCGGGUAGUCCUAGCCGUAAACGAUACUCGCUAGGUGUCGGCCACGGUGCGACCGUUGUCGGUGCCGUAGGGAAGCCGUGAAGCAAGCCACCUGGGAAGUACGGCCGCAAGGCUGAAACUUAAAGGAAUUGGCGGGGGAGCAC
rnacentral:rRNA from 1 species